ACGGGUUCCAGUACGAUGACCGAAGUUAAGCAACGACGGGUCUGGUCAGUAAUUAGAUGGGUGACCGCUUGGGAAUACCAGGUGCUC